rnacentral:lncRNA from 1 species
GGAAGAUGACUGGUUUUUAUAUAAUUUUAAUCAAAUUCUUCAGUUUCAUAUAUUUUGUUUUUUUUUUAUGCUAAGCGAGUUUCAUAAUUUGACCAUUCUGCAUUAGUUCUCACCAAGGAAUAUCAUCUAAAUAAAACGAAGAUUAAUCUAGCCAAUUGUCACCAAGGGAAGUGUGUUUUUGGUGUGCAUCAUGAAGCUAUCGUCAGAGGCUCUCGACUUGAUAUUUUUUUUGAAAAUAUUGCAUGAGGACAUAUUGUCAUGAAGCUAUCGUCAUUUAUUGUUUUUCUUUAUAUAUGUCCUCAUGAAAAUAUUGGCUUUGUUUUGUCCCCUCAAAUAAAAAAAAGUAAACAAAUUUUAAGAAAAGUAAAUUAAGCUUGGGAGAUCCAUAAGAUGGAAAACGAAAUAAAGAAACAAUCUGAUAAGAUAUUUAAAAUCCGAUCCUUCUAGUUUGCUAAUAAUCUCGAAACUAUUUUGAAUUCUUUGUAUAGAUGGAAGCAACUCCGAAGAUACGUGGUGAAUCUGGUGAUAGGACCAAAAAAAGUCAUUAAAAAC